AACGAACGCUGGCGGCAGGCUUAACACAUGCAAGUCGAGCGCCCCGCAAGGGGAGCGGCAGACGGGUGAGUAACGCGUGGGAAUCUACCCAUCUCUACGGAAUAACGCAUGGAAACGUGUGCUAAUACCGUAUACGUCCUUCGGGAGAAAGAUUUAUCGGAGAUGGAUGAGCCCGCGUUGGAUUAGCUAGUUGGUGGGGUAAAGGCCUACCAAGGCGACGAUCCAUAGCUGGUCUGAGAGGAUGAUCAGCCACACUGGGACUGAGACACGGCCCAGACUCCUACGGGAGGCAGCAGUGGGGAAUAUUGGACAAUGGGCGCAAGCCUGAUCCAGCCAUGCCGCGUGAGUGACGAAGGCCCUAGGGUUGUAAAGCUCUUUCACCGGUGAAGAUAAUGACGGUAACCGGAGAGGAAGCCCCGGCUAACUUCGUGCCAGCCGCCGCCAAAAAAC
rnacentral:rRNA from 1 species